CAAAAGCGUUUAUUAAAGUUGUUGCAGUUAAAAAGCUCGUAGUUGAACCUUGGGCUUGGCUGGCCGGUCCAUCUUUUUUGAUGCGUACUGGACCCAGCCGAGCCUUUCCUUCUGGCUAGCCUUUUGGCGAACCAGGACUUUUACUUUGAAAAAAUUAGAGUGUUCAAAGCAGGCCUUUGCUCGAAUAUAUUAGCAUGGAAUAAUAGAAUAGGACGUUAUGGUUCUAUUUUGUUGGUUUCUAGGACCAUCGUAAUGAUUAAUAGGGACGGUCGGGGGUAUCAGUAUUCAGUUGUCAGAGGUGAAAUUCUUGGAUUUACUGAAGACUAACUACUGCGAAAGCAUUUACCAAGGACGUUUUCAUUAA
rnacentral:rRNA from 1 species